UGCGUAGGCGGAUCAGUAAGUCAGUGGUGAAAUCUCUCGGCUCAACCGGGAAACUGCCAUUGAUACUGUUGAUCUUGAGUUCGGUAGAGGUAGGCGGAAUGUGUAAUGUAGCGGUGAAAUGCUUAGAUAUUACACAGAACACCAAUUGCGUAGGCAGCUUACUAUGCCGACACUGACGCUGAGGCACGAAAGCGUGGGGAGCGAACAGGAUUAGAUACCCUGGGUAGUCC
rnacentral:rRNA from 1 species